CAGCUAUUUCAAACCAUAAAGAUGAGGGCUGUCCCCUAGGGAUGGUAGAACUAAGAGCCAGAAAAGACUAAGUUCUCGAUAAUCAUUUGGAACUGCAAUAGUGGUCCUGGACUACCUAUCUCUAGACUUCUUUUACAUAGGGAGAAAUAUACUUCUCUGUGAAGCCACAACCUUUUAGGAUUUUCUGUCACUUGCAGGUGAAUAUAAAUCUGUUGGAUACAAUAUUGUGUGCAUGGUAGGUGGGCCGUCAGUGGUGAGCCGGGGCUGCCAUUCAGUUUUCUUUAGGGAAGAGGGAUACAUGGGACCACGGGGGCUGCAACUUGCAACUGUGGAGAGAAGCAGUUACGUGGCAUGUUAUGGAUUGAACUGUGCCCCCAAAAUUCACAUGUUGAAAUCCUAACCCAAGCACCUCAGAAUGUGACCGUAUUCGGAGGCACAGCCUGUAAAGAAGGGGCCUAAGGUGAAAAGAUGUCAUUGGGGGGGCCCUACUCCUAUAGGACUGGUAUCCUUAUAGGAAGAGGAGGUGAGGACACAGACACACACAGAAAGAAGACCAUGUGAAAACACAGGGAGAAGGUGGCAUCUGUAUGCCAAGAACAGAGGCCUCAGAGGAAACCAACCCUGUGACACCUGGAUCUUGGACUUCCAGCCCCUGGAACUGUGAGAAAAUGAAGUUCUGGUGUUGAAGGCACCCAGGCUGUGGAACUUUGUUAUGGCAGCCCUAGCAGACUAAUAUAUGGCACAAGGAGAGGACCGUGGUGCCAAGAAAAAUGUGCCUGUCACUUCUCCAGCUGACGUGCCCUGGCUACCAUGCUCUGAAAUCUACCCUGGAACUCUGCGUGUGUGAGGCCAGGCUUCCCACAGGCUGCUCCCAGCCAGGGAAGAGUACAGCAGGGAUACUGAGGCAGGCCUGUUCCCUAGAGCCCGCAACUUUGGCUCUCCAUCAGCUUGGCUGAAACUGUACUGCAGCGUCAGACUCUUCCUACCCAACCUUCCUCCCUUCCCUCUCCUGCACGAGGCCACCAGGCUGCUGCCUGGUCUCCUGGCUCUCCCAACCUCCUCUAGUUCCCUCUUCACUUUCUCUUACAACUUUUUCCCUAAAGACAUCUCUUGCAGGUUCAAUCUACCCUCUGAGUCUGCUUCUUAGAAGACCUGGGCUAAUGGACUUAGUGAGUUAGUCCUCCCUACUUGCACCCAUUUCACAGAUGAGGAAGUUGGGGCCCAGUUUACAGAAUUUUAUCGGAGCCACCCCUCUCUGACUGCACACACCCACCAAGAUAAGAAGCACUUUUACAGGCGGGCUCUGUUUGCUCAAACUGUAUUUUAUAAUUAUUACUAUGAAAAAAGAAGAGUGUCUUUGAGAAUUUACCUUUAGAUAGCAAAUUCCUAUACCCCUUCUCCGAUUUACUCACCCCUUGGUACUUAUUUCUAACAUUCUAUAAUAUUUUACUUGUUUAUCUUUAUUGUCUGACACAUUGCUACUGAGGGAAUGAGUGAAUUACCUCAAAAUGUACCAUCAUCCUCACUGCUCACAAAGUUGGAUAGCAAAGGUCAGUGAAAAUUUCCCCCAGCUUGGCAUUUACGUUGCUUCAUUUAAGUGAUUGUUCACUUCUCUGUGAGCACUUCUACAUUGGAAGCUCCGUGAGAGCAGAUUAGAAUGAAUGAAUGAAUGAAUGACCUGGAAUCACCCUGGGUUGUGUCUGGAUCGUUUGGGUGGGACUCUGUGAGCCUUGUCCUCCUCAUUCUGCUCCUAUUGCUAAUUGUAGAGAGGUGGUAGCAGCUCUCCAGACUGAAAAGGAUCUGGAUGGUUUCAGUGAUGGAGGCAGCAGAUUAUCUGGGCUGAGCUCAAAGUCCCAUGCAAAUGAAGGCUCCACCUACUCAGAAGUCCUCGGGCAGCAUUUAAGGACACGAAUCACCUGACUUCACUGCGGGGAAAUCCUCUCACGGCAUGACUUCCUGUCACAGUAGAAUAGAACCCACGCUCCGACCCAUGACCUACAGCUCUCAGCAUGCUCACUCUAAGAGCUCUGCCAGCUUACAGCCCUCACGUCCUCAUGGUGCCAGCAGCCUCCAAACCUGGUCCUGCGACACAGGAUCUCUGUUGGUUCCUCAUCCUGGGAUGCUUUUCCCAGACCCUCCAUGUCUAGCUCCUUCCUCCCAUUAUCUGACAGCUCUGUGGAAUGCAACCCCACCCACCCAUCAUCACUAUCUCCCAUUCUGCCUUAGUUUCUUCCUUCGUUCUUCCUUUUCUUUUUGACAAGGUCUUGCUCUGUUGCCCAGGCUGGAGUUCAAUAGUGCAAUCAUGGCUCACUGCAGCCUCAACCUCCUUGAUCCUUGAUCCUCCCAUCUCAGCCUCCCAGGUAGCUGGGACCACAGGUGUAAGCCACCAAACCUGGCUAAUUUUUGUUGUUGUUGUUUGCGUUUUUGAGAAAGGGUCUCACUCUGUUGCUCCCUGGGUUCAAGUGAUUCUCCCAUCUGAGCCUCCCGAGUAUCUGGGACUAUAGGCACGUGCCACUACGCCCGGCUAAUUUUUGUUUUUGUUUUUGCUUUUGUUUUUGUUUGAGACUGAGUCUCACUCUGUUGCCCAGGCUGGAGUGUAGUGGUGCAAUCUCCACUCACCGCAACCUCCACCUCCUGGGUUCAAGCGAUUCUCCUGCCUCAGUCUCCCAAGUAGCUGGGAUUACAGGCGCAUGCCACUAUGCCCGGCUAAUUUUUGUAUUUUUAGUAGAGAUGGGGUUUUGCCAUGUUGGCCAGGCUGGUCUUGAACUCCUGACCUCAGGUGAUCCACCCACCUCAGCCUCCCAAAGUGCUAGGAUUACAGGCAUGAGCCACUGCACCCAGCCAGACUUGCUAAUUUUUGUAUUUUUUUUGUAGAGACGGAGUUUCACUAUGUUGCCCAGGCUGGUCUUGAACUUCUGGGCCAAGUGAUCUGCCAAAGUGCUGGGAUUACAUGUGUGAACCACCAUGACUGGCCUGCCUUAGUUUUCUUAGUAGUAUUUAUCCCUGCCUAAAAUUCUCUUCGAUGACUAUUGUCUUACACAUGCAUUUGUUUACUGAUUUCUCUCCUUCCCUAGAACGUACAAGUUCCAUGGAAGCAGAGACUUAGUUGGCUUGUUCACCACUCUAUCUCCAAUGCCUAGAUGGUGGCUGGCACUCAUGAGGAGCUCAAUAAAUAUAUGUUGAAUGAAUGGAUG
rnacentral:lncRNA from 10 species